CGGAUAAUGUGUUAGACUGUUAGUGGCUUCUGCUUGGAGUUUUAUAUAAGUUAAUCUUGAAUUUUGAACAUUUGCUGAACUAUCUCGGGAGUUUUACUGAAGGUUGUCUUGAAGAUGAAGGAUCAGGUUGCUUUUGGUGAUGUGCCUUCAGAUUUGCGCAUGGAAGUAAAAUUGGAAGAAGAUGAGGAAGAGUUUCGUAGUUGUUGUGGAGAUGAUGAAGUAUGGAAGGACCCUGAAGAAAUGGAGAAGGAAGAGCC
rnacentral:misc_RNA from 1 species